UACUAAGUUGGGGCACUUUAAAGAGACUGCCGGUGUUAAACCGGAGGAAGGUGGGGAUGACGUCAAGUCCUCAUGGCCUUUAUGUCCAGGGCUACACACGUGCUACAAUGGGUGGUACAAAGAGCAGCGACCUCGCGAGUGGAAGCAAAUCUCAAAAAGCCAUCCUAAGUUCGGAUUGGAGUCUGCAACUCGACUCCAUGAAGUCGGAAUCGCUAGUAAUCGCGGAUCAGCACGCCGCGGUGAAUACGUUCCCGGGCCUU
rnacentral:rRNA from 1 species